rnacentral:rRNA from 1 species
UACAGAGGUCUCGAGCGUUGUUCGGAUUCAUUGGGCGUAAAGGGUGCGUAGGUGGUUUGGUAAGUCGGAUGUGAAAUCCCGGGGCUCAACCCCGGAACUGCAUUCGAUACUGCUUUAACUUGAGUGCUGGAGAGGAGAUCGGAAUUUACGGUGUAGCAGUGAAAUGCGUAGAUAUCGUAAGGAAGACCAGUGGCGAAGGCGGAUCUCUGGACAGCAACUGACACUGAGGCACGAAGGCCAGGGGAGCAAACGGG